UACAGAGGUCUCAAGCGUUGUUCGGAUUCAUUGGGCGUAAAGGGUGCGUAGGCGGCGCGUCAAGUCGGGUGUGAAAUCUCGGAGCUUAACUCCGAAACUGCAUUCGAUACUGCCGUGCUUGAGGACUGGAGAGGAGACUGGAAUUUACGGUGUAGCGGUGAAAUGCGUAGAUAUCGUAAGGAAGACCAGUGGCGAAGGCGGGUCUCUGGACAGUUCCUGACGCUGAGGCACGAAGGUCAGGGGAGCAAACGGG
rnacentral:rRNA from 1 species